CCUACGGGAGGCUGCAGUGAGGAAUAUUGGUCAAUGGACGAGAGUCUGAACCAGCCAAGUAGCGUGAAGGAUGACUGCCCUAUGGGUUGUAAACUUCUUUUAUAAAGGAAUAAAACGAGGCACGUGUGCCUUUUUGCAUGUACUUUAUGAAUAAGGAUCGGCUAACUCCGUGCCAGCAGCCGCGGUAAUACGGAGGAUCCGAGCGUUAUCCGGAUUUAUUGGGUUUAAAGGGAGCGUAGAUGGGUUGUUAAGUCAGUUGUGAAAGUUUGCGGCUCAACCGUAAAAUUGCAAUUGAUACUGGCAGUCGUGAGUACAGUUGAGGUAGGCGGAAUUCGUGGUGUAGCGGUGAAAUGCUUAGAUAUCACGAAGAACCCCGAUUGUGAAGGCAGCUUACUAAACUGUGACUGACAUUGAUGCUCGAAAGUGUGGGUAUCAAACAGGAUUAGAUACCCUUGUAGUC
rnacentral:rRNA from 1 species